rnacentral:rRNA from 1 species
AUUGAACGCUGGCGGCAGGCCUAACACAUGCAAGUCGAGCGGAGCGGCGGACGGGUGAGUAAUGCCUAGGAAUCUGCCUGGUAGUGGGGGAUAACGUCAGGAAACGGGCGCUAAUACAGCAUACUAUCAGAUGAGCCUGUGUCGGAUUAGCUAGUUGGGGGGGUAAAGGCCUACAAAGGCGACGAACCGGAAAUGGUGUGAGAGGAUGAUCAGGCAGACUGGAACGGAGACACGGUCCAGACUCCUACGGGAGGCAGCAGUGGGGAAUAUUGGACAAUGGGCGAAAGCCUGAUCCAGCCAUGCCGCGUGUGUGAAGAAGGUCUUCGGAUUUUAAAGCACUUUAAGUUGGGAGGCGUUACCAACAGAAUAAGCACCGGCUAACUUCGUGCCAGCAGCCGCGGUAAUUC